ACGCCCAACAGCUAGCCCACCUAAACAAUUUCAACAAACCCCUGUUAAUACCCCCUAAAUACCCUAGUAUUUAAAUUAAACAAACCAUUUUUCCCCCUUAGUAUAGGCGAUAGAAAGGGGACCACGGCGCAAUAGAGAAAGUACCGCAAGGGAACGCUGAAAGAGAAGUGAAAUAACCCAGUAAAGCCUGAAAAAGCAGAGAUUUAAACUCGUACCUUUUGCAUCAUGAUUUAGCGAGUGUACCUCAAGCAAAGAGCACUUUAGUUUGACGUCCCGAAACUACGUGAGCUACUCCAAGACAGCCUAUUAAUAGGGCGCACCCGUCUCUGUGGCAAAAGAGUGGGGAGAGCUUUGAGUAGAGGUGACAAACCUACCGAACC
rnacentral:rRNA from 1 species